rfam:Ictidomys tridecemlineatus contig069395, whole genome shotgun sequence.
AGGGAUGUAUCUCAGUUGGUAGAGUGCUUGCCUUACAUGCAUAAGGCUCAGGGUUCAAUCCCCAGCACCACAC